CCUACGGGGUGCAGCAGUGAGGAAUAUUGGUCAAUGGACGCAAGUCUGAACCAGCCAAGUAGCGUGCAGGAUGACGGCCCUCCGGGUUGUAAACUGCUUUUAGUUGGGAAUAAAAGGGGGCUCGUGAGCCCCGUAUUGUAUGUACCAUCAGAAAAAGGACCGGCUAAUUCCGUGCCAGCAGCCGCGGUAAUACGGAAGGUCCGGGCGUUAUCCGGAUUUAUUGGGUUUAAAGGGAGAGUAGGCCGGCUUUUAAGUCAGCUGGGAAAGUCCGCGGCUCAACCGUGGAAUUGCAGUUGAAACUGUGUUUUUUGAGUGCUGGAGAGGCAAUCGGAAGUCCGUGUGUAGCGGUGAAAUGCGUAGAUAUACGGAGGAACACCAGUGGCGAAGGCGGAUUGCUGGACAGUAACUGACGCUGAGGCGCGAAAGCGUGGGGAGCAAACAGGAUUAGAUACCCGAGUAGUC
rnacentral:rRNA from 1 species